GGUUUGUUUGAUUGUUGAAUUUGUAAUUGUUUGAUUUAUAUUUUUUGUAUGCCUGAAAUGAGACUAGUUUGUGCUGAAAAUUGGUGAGGGUUCAAAAAUGUUCUCGAAUCCUAAAGAUGAACUCAAAUGAAGAUAGUUCUCAAAAAAGUUUACUGGGCUACGCACCAAUACGUAAGAGGCAAAAAAGGGGACUGACUUUGGAAGCGUGGAAUCGGAAGCCACCUCUGAGGUUCCGAAAUGUCCAGAACCUAGUCAAUUUUUAUCGAGAUCGAACAGCAUUUUGAAACCACUUCUGAUAAGAAAUGAUCAGCCUUUUGGAAGGGAUGUGAGUAACUAUGAAGAGCCACCGAUCUUUCCAAAUAUACCGAUAUCAGGUGAAACACACUAAGGCAAUCUACAUUUAUGUUAAAAAAUGGUACAUGGUCUUCAUUGUUCAAUAAUUUUUGUUGGAAAUACUGAUAAUUUAAAAAGAAUCUGACACAACAUACUGUAGUGAACACCGCCAGCUUACCGCAGAUUCUACGAGAUAUAUAUUUUUUAAACUUCUUCGAAAUCUUAUAAUUUUUUACUAAAAAUGCCGUCUACUUUCUACGGUUGAAAUUAGUGUUAGCGAUGAGCUCCCGAUGUUUGCGAAAAUCACCGAAAUUUUAAUUUAUCAUCGAACAGACAAUGUGAUAUUUUCUUGUGAUAUGUAUAAAACAAUAUUAUGCUACAAAAAUUGUUUCGCUUAUGAGGGUGUGAAGUGUAAAGAAGGUCAGUUUGUUAAGUAAAUAGAUUUGCACAAGUACCAUCCUAUACUUAUGCACAAACAUUAUAAUGGAAAAAUAUACGUCAUUACGGACUGCGUAAAAUAAGAUUGUAUUAUAAUUUAAAU